GCGGGGUAGCAAUACCCAGCGGCAGACGGGUGAGUAACACGUAGUCAACCUUCCCGACAGUGGGGGAUAACUAGCCGAAAGGUUAGCUAAUACCGCAUACGAUCUAUGAGUGGCAUCUCUUAUAGAUGAAAGGAGCAAUCCGCUUUCGGACGGGACUGCGUCCCAUUAGCUAGAUGGUGGGGUAAUGGCCUACCAUGGCGACGAUGGGUAGCUGGUUUGAGAGAGCGACCAGCCACACUGGGACUGAGAAACGGCCCAGACUCCUACGGGAGGCAGCAGUGAGGAAUUUUCCGCAAUGGGCGAAAGCCUGACGGAGCGACGCCGCGUGUGGGAAGAAGGCCUUCGGGUCGUAAACCACUGUCGAAGGGGACGAUAAUGACGGUACCCUUGGAGGAAGCCCCGGCUAACUACGUGC
rnacentral:rRNA from 1 species